rnacentral:rRNA from 1 species
AUUGAACGCUGGCGGCAUGCCUUACACAUGCAAGUCGAACGGUAACAGGUCUUCGGAUGCUGACGAGUGGCGAACGGGUGCGUAAUACAUCGGAACGUGCCCGAUCGUGGGGGAUAACGAGGCGAAAGCUUUGCUAAUACCGCAUACGAUCUACGGAUGACAGCGGGGGAUCUUCGGACCUCGCGCGGACGGAGCGGCCGAUGGCAGAUUAGGUAGUUGGUGGGAUAAAAGCUUACCAAGCCGACGAUCUGUAGCUGGUCUGAGAGGAUGAUCAGCCACAAGGGGACUGAGACACGGCCCAGACUCCUACGGGAGGCAGCAGUGGGGAAUUUUGGACAAAGGGCGAAAGCCUGAUCCAGGCAUGCCGCGUGCAGGAUGAAGGCCUUCGGGUUGUAAAAGGCUUUUGUACGGAACGAAAAGCCUCUUUCUAAUAAAGAGGGGUCAUGACGGUACCGUAAGAAUAAGCACCGGAUAACUACGUG